rnacentral:rRNA from 1 species
AACGAACGCUGGCGGCAGGCCUAACACAUGCAAGUCGAGCGAGAUCUUCGGGUCUAGCGGCGGACGGGUGAGUAACGCGUGGGAAUAUGCCUCUGGUACGGAAUAGCCUCGGGAAACUGGGAGUAAUACCGUAUGUGCCCUUUGGGGGAAAGAUUUAUCGCCAAGAGAUUAGCCCGCGUUGGAUUAGGUAGUUGGUGGGGUAAUGGCCUACCAAGCCGACGAUCCAUAGCUGGUUUGAGAGGAUGAUCAGCCACACUGGGACUGAGACACGGCCCAGACUCCUACGGGAGGCAGCAGUGGGGAAUCUUAGACAAUGGGGGCAACCCUGAUCUAGCCAUGCCGCGUGAGUGAUGAAGGCCUUAGGGUUGUAAAGCUCUUUCAGCUGGGAAGAUAAUGACGGUACCAGCAGAAGAAGCCCCGGCUAACUCCGUG